UGUCACAAAUUGUUUUUCGCUGCAUUCUUAAAUUGAAUUGUCUCAUUUUCAUACUUUCAUGUAAGAAAUGCACAUCGCGACGAAUAUUAACCAUAAAGUUUUUGGCACUUCAUGAAAUAUGAUCAAUCGCUUAUUGCGGUUUCGUUCUACAAAUAGAUGGUACACCAUCCCGUGUGAAAAAUUACUGACUGGCUAGUCAGUUAACUAAUUUGGGACGUCUUAAGCCAACUGAGAUUGAAGUCAUUUAAAGUUGAUUUGCUUGAUUUUUCAGUCAAUUCCAGUAGAGAAAAAUAUAACUCAAAUCAAAUUCAACCACACUUAGCUAUAGCCAUCUAACGUCCCAAAUUAGUCGCCUGUUUAAAAUCAGAAAAAUAGACGACCAAACUCUACAGUGUAGAAAGUUUUAGUUAACAAAAUUAAUUUUCAGUUGAUAUUAGCUAGACAGUCAGUCACUUUUUUUCACACUGAAUGUCAUACAAUAACACUGGCUAACUUUUUGGCAUUGUUCUUUAAAACAAAAACGCAAAGUGGCAAACAUUUUCAAAGAAUAACACCCGGUCAUAAUACAAAAACGAUGAUGACGUCACAACAUCAGGUGUCACGUUAGAUGAUGUGGAUAAACGUGUAAUAUUCUUAAAUCGGCCGCAGCCACAAAAAUUUUGUAGCAACCGUAUAUCCACGGCAAAAUAUAGCUUAAUAAGUUUCCUACCUUCAUUUUUAUUUGAACAAUUUCGAAGAUAUUCGAACUGUUUUUUUCUAUUCAUUGCAUUACUUCAACAAAUACCUGAUGUUUCUCCAACGGGUCGAUAUACCACAUUAGUUCCAUUAAUAUUCAUUCUAGCUGUAAGCGCCAUUAAAGAAAUUAUUGAAGAUUUUAAACGUCACCGAGCGGAUGAUGACACCAAUCAUAGAGAUGUGGAAACACUUCGCAAUGGUCAAUGGGUCGCCAUCAAAUGGCAAAAUCUCGUUGUCGGCGACAUUGUUCGAAUUAUCAAUAAUGCAUUUUUUCCAGCCGAUAUGGUUUUAUUGUCAUCGAGUGAACCACAAGCAAUGGCAUUCAUUGAAACGUCGAACUUGGAUGGUGAAACGAACUUGAAAAUCCGACAAGCGGUGCCAGGUAAUUGUGUUAAUUCAA